rnacentral:rRNA from 1 species
GAUGAACGCUAGCGGCAGGCUUAACACAUGCAAGUCGAGGGGCAGCGCGGGAUAGCAAUAUCCUGGCGGCGACCGGCGGAAGGGUGCGUAACGCGUGAGCGACAUGCCCGUUGCCCGGGGACAACCGGUGGAAACGCCGACUAAUCCCCGAUGGGAUACGAUGCUUCAUGGCAUUGUAUUGAAAGUUACGGCGGCGACGGAUUGGCUCGCGUCCGAUUAGCUGGUUGGCGGGGUAACGGCCCACCAAGGCUGCGAUCGGCAGGGGUUCUGAGAGGAAGGCCCCCCACAAUGGGACUGAGACACGGCCCAUACUCCUACGGGAGGCAGCAGUGAGGAAUAUUGGUCAAUGGGCGGAAGCCUGAACCAGCCAUGCCGCGUGCGGGAAGGAGGCCCUAUGGGCUGUGAACCGCUUUUGCCUGGGGGCAAUAAGGGCGUCGCGCACGUCCGAUGAGAGUACCAGGCGAAUAAGCAUCGGCUAACUCCGUG